UACGAAGGGGACUAGCGUUGUUCGGAUUUACUGGGCGUAAAGCGCGCGUAGGCGGAUCGCUAAGUCAGGGGUGAAAUCCCAGGGCUCAACCCUGGAACUGCCUUUGAUACUGACGAUCUGGAGAUCGGGAGAGGUUGGUGGAAUUCCGAGUGUAGAGGUGAAAUUCGUAGAUAUUUGGAGGAACACCAGAAGCGAAGGCGGCCAACUGGCCCGAUACUGACGCUGAGGCGCGAAAGCGUGGGGAGCAAACAGG
rnacentral:rRNA from 1 species